GCCAGAGUGGCGCAGUGGUCUGAAUGUCAGAUGUCGACUCCAGAAACCAGGGUUCGAAUCCCAGCUUGGCCA